rnacentral:rRNA from 1 species
GGAAUUUUCCGCAAUGGGCGAAAGCCUGACGCAGCAACGCCGCGUGAGUGAUGAAGGCCUUCGGGUCGUAAAGCUCUGUCGCAGGGAACGAAAGCCAAUGACGGUACUCUGCAAGAAAGCCCCGGCCAACUCCGUGCCAGCAGCCGCGGUAAAACGGAGGGGGCGAGCGUUGUUCGGAAUUACUGGGCGUAAAGGGCGCGUAGGCGGUCAUGCAAGUCGGGGGUGGAAGCCCACGGCUUAACCGUGGAAUUGCCUUCGAAACUGCAUGACUUGAGUACGGAAGAGGAGAGCGGAAUUCCCAGUGUAGCGGUGAAAUGCGUAGAUACUGGGAGGAACACCGGUGGCGAAGGCGGCUCUCUGGUCCGAAACUGACGCUGAGGCGCGAAAGCUAGGGGAGCAAACGGGAUUAGAUACCCCUGUAGUC